rnacentral:pre_miRNA from 1 species
UUUUAAAUCAUAGGGUGUUCUCGUUAAAAUGCAGAGUCUGAUUUAGCAUGGCCGGAGCGGGACUUGAGAUUCUGCAUUUCUAACAACUUGCAGAUGCUGCUGCU